rnacentral:tRNA from 1 species
CUUAGAAUAGUUUAUUCGAUUUAAAAUACGAACUUUGGAGGUUUGAGAUCUCAUGUUUUUGUGUUCUUUGG